rnacentral:rRNA from 1 species
CAGGCCUAACACAUGCAAGUCCGGCGUCGAGCGGCGGACGGGUGAGUAAUGCCUAGGAAAUUGCCCUGAUGUGGGGGAUAACCAUUGGAAACGAUGGCUAAUACCGCAUGAUGCCUACGGGCCAAAGAGGGGGACCUUCGGGCCUCUCGCGUCAGGAUAUGCCUAGGUGGGAUUAGCUAGUUGGUGAGGUAAGGGCUCACCAAGGCGACGAUCCCUAGCUGGUCUGAGAGGAUGAUCAGCCACACUGGAACUGAGACACGGUCCAGACUCCUACGGGAGGCAGCAGUGGGGAAUAUUGCACAAUGGGCGCAAGCCUGAUGCAGCCAUGCCGCGUGUGUGAAGAAGGCCUUCGGGUUGUAAAGCACUUUCAGUCGUGAGGAAGGUAGUAGUGUUAAUAGCACUAUUAUUUGACGUUAGCGACAGAAGAAGCACCGGCUAACUCCGUGCCAGCAGCCGCGGUAAUACGGAGGGUGCGAGCGUUAAUCGGAAUUACUGGGCGUAAAGCGCAUGCAGGUGGUUUGUUAAGUCAGAUGUGAAAGCCCGGGGCUCAACCUCGGAAUUGCAUUUGAAACUGGCAGACUAGAGUACUGUAGAGGGGGGUAGAAUUUCAGGUGUAGCGGUGAAAUGCGUAGAGAUCUGAAGGAAUACCGGUGGCGAAGGCGGCCCCCUGGACAGAUACUGACACUCAGAUGCAUGAG